AGGACUGUAGCUCAGUAGAACAGUACUUGCCUUGUAUGCAUGAGACCUUGAGUUCAAUUCUCCAGAACUG
rnacentral:tRNA from 1 species